UACGGAGGAUGCGAGCGUUAUCCGGAUUUAUUGGGUUUAAAGGGUGCGUAGGCGGCCGAGUAAGUCAGCGGUGAAAUUUUGCAGCUUAACUGUAACAGUGCCGUUGAUACUGCAUGGCUAGGAUUUGGUUGCUGUGGGUGGAAUGUGUGGUGCAGCGGUGAAAUGCUUAGAUACCACACAGAAUAUCAAUUGCGAAGGCAGCUCACAAAGCCAAGAUUGACGCUGAGGCACGAAAGUGUGGGGAU
rnacentral:rRNA from 1 species